rnacentral:rRNA from 1 species
AUCGAUGAAGAACGCAGCGAAAUGCGAUAAGUAAUGUGAAUUGCAGAAUUCAGUGAAUCAUCGAAUCUUUGAACGCACAUUGCGCCCCUUGGUAUUCCGAGGGGCAUGCCUGUUCGAGCGUCAUUACACCACUCAAGCACUGCUUGGUAUUGGGCACUCGUCCGUCGAAAGACGGGCGUGCCUCGAAGACCUCGGCGGGGUUUCUCCAACUUCGGGCGUAGUAGAGUUAAAUCAAAACGUCUUAUAAGCUUGGUGAGAUCUCAUUGCCGUUAAACCUUUUUUUUUCAGGUUGACCUCGGAUCAGGUAGGGAUACCCGCUGAACUUAAGCAUAUCAAUAAGCGGAGGAAAAGAAACCAACAGGGAUUGCCCUAGUAACGGCGAGUGAAGCGGCAAUAGCUCAAAUUUGAAAGCUGGCCUUUGGUCCGCAUUGUAAUUUGUAGAGGAUGCUUUUAGGCAGCCGCCGGUCUAAGUUCCUUGGAACAGGACGUCAUAGAGGGUGAGAAUCCCGUAUGUGACCGGCUCUGGCACCUUAUGUAAAGCUCCUUCGACGAGUCGAGUUGUUUGGGAAUGCAGCUCUAAAUGGGAGGUAAAUUUCUUCUAAAGCUAAAUACUGGCGAGAGACCGAUAGCGCACAAGUAGAGUGAUCGAAAGAUGAAAAGCACUUUGGAAAGAGAGUUAAAAAGCACGUGAAAUUGUUGAAAGGGAAGCGCUUGCAAUCAGACUUGGACUUGGCUGUUCAACCGGUCUUCUGACCGGCCUACUCAGUCUUGUCCAGGCCAGCAUCAGUUUCGGCGGCCGGAUAAAGGCCCUGGGAAUGUGGCUGUCUCUUCGGAGGCAGUGUUAUAGCCCAGGGUGUAAUACGGCCAGCUGGGACUGAGGUCCGCGCUUCGGCUAGGAUGCUGGCGUAAUGGUUGUAAGCGGCCCGUCUUGAAACACGG